AUACUUUGGCAGGGGCAAUACAAUGACCAAGGAGGUGGUUUGCCCAAAGCGAGGUUCGGCCAUUGCACUCGAGCUGUGCUGACCUUUGCAAAUUCCCCAAAUGCCGGAAUCUCGACUGCAUAAUUUCUGAUAGUAGGGGACUGAGUUCGCGCUCUUCCCUG